rnacentral:misc_RNA from 1 species
GGCACAGCUGCUGAAAGAUGACCCCCGCUGCAUCACUAUUUCAAUUGUGGGUGUCGGAGGCAUUGGAAAGACAAGCCUUGCAAAGCUAAUCUACGAUAGCCAGACUAUUGCAGACCAUUUCCCUAAUCGUAUUUGGGUGUCUAGAGCAACCGAGUUUAAUAUCAUCGAACAGAUUUUCAGUGUUAAAGAUUCAACUUUAAUAAGUUAUCCUUUUUGGCAUGAAAAAUUUGCAUAUACGGUGAGGCAACUAGUUAAUGCUUUCUUCUUGGAUAAGAAGUAUCUCAUAGUUGUUGAUGACUUGUGUUUAACCGAAUUGUGCCUUCCAAGAGAAUUCUGGACAAACAUGGGAAGAGUCUUCAAUGACAUUCCAAAUGGAGCAAGAAUACUUUUCACAAUUCGCAAUUUCAGGCAAGCUCCACCAGAUACUGAAACUAGCUUCAUUUACAGACUGCAUCUCCGAAGCCAUGAUGAGAGCUGGGCAUUGUUCACGCACACUUUGAAGGUAAACAUCCUCCCAGAGAUGCAGAAUUUGAAAGGACAUAUCAUAAGAACAUGUGGGGGGCUGCCAAAGGUAAUCUUGAAACUAAGAGAACUACUGUCGCAAAGAGAUGCAACUCUAGAGGAGUGGUCAAGGGUACUUGACCGCCUAAAUCAAGAUCAAGAACCCUGGUUAGAAAUCCUAGAUGAAAUUAACAAGUAUUUGCCUUUGUAUUUGAGAAGAUGUCUCUUUUAUUUUGGAUUAUUUCCAGUAGGGCGUAAAAUCCCUGCGAGAAGGUUGAUUGCCUUGUGGGUUGCUGAGGGUUUGGGGUGUCAACAGAGUAAUGAAAAAUCCCCUGAACAUGUUGCAGAGGCAUGCUUGAGAGAGUUAAUGAAUUAUAAUAUGGUUCAGGUGACAGAAAAGAAACUCAAUGGGAGGGUUAAGACAUGUUGCCUACCAGAAGCUUUGCAAGUACACUGGUUCUCAAAAGCAAAGGAAGCUAAUUUUCUUCAAGGUCACUCUGACAUUUCCAAUACCAACAUUGGUGUAAUACGCCGUCUCGCUGACCAUCUUCAGCAGAAUGAUGCCAUCUUUGAUGAUAUUCAUUGUCACAACAAUGCUUCCUCAUACUCUCGCUACAGAGAUGUGGUCUCCUUUUUAUCCUUUGAUACUCGUGAAGGAAGCAGGCCUGGAGAAGAUAUAGGGAACUUUCUUGAUAGAUCCAUCUCAAGCAAUUGCUUCCGUUUCCUCUGGGUGUUGGAUCUGGAAAAUGUAUACAGGCCAAAACUGCCCAAGGCAGUAGGUCAACUCACUCGGUUGAGGUAUCUUGGGUUGAGAUCAACGUACCUGGAGAUGCUUCCUGUGUUCAUUAACAAAUUGCUAAACCUUCAAACACUGGAUUUGAAGCGCACUUGCAUCAACACUCUUCCCUGUUCAAUAUGGAAGAUGCAAAAGCUAAGGCAUUUGUUUCUGGAUGAGAGUUUCCGCAACACAUUUGUGCCUCGACCAGAAGAAAGCUCUCUGGUGGAUCUUCAAACACUCUGGGGUGCAUUUGUAGAUGAGAAUAGUCCAGUGAGAAAUGGCCUGGACACUUCAUUGAACAUUAAAAAAUUGGGACUGAAAUGCAAGAUAUCAGUGCCGUCUCAAAAUGCAGCAAUGUCCUCACAACUGGUUGAUGUCGCAAACUGGAUUGUAAAACUAAAAGACCUUCAAUCCUUAAGAUUGAAAUCAUUUGAUGAAUCAGGCCAGCCCUGGGAUCUGCACUUGCAGUCUUUGGUAGAGCAUGUGGAUCUUUCCAAUAUAUAUUUGGUUGGAAAGCUGAAGAAUCAGCACCUGGUAUCUGCGUUACCAAGGAGCCUAAUUGACCUCACCUUGUCAGCAUCUGGACUGGUAGAGGACCCAAUGCAAACGUUGGCCAAGCUACCCAACCUUAGAAUCGUUAGGCUGUUGUCCAGAUCUUUCACAGGAAAGAAUAUGCUUUGCAGUUUUGGAGGAUUUCCAAAGCUUGAAGUCCUCAAAUUCUGGGAGCUAGAGCUCCUGGAGGAGUGGAAUGUGGAGGAAGGAGCACUGACUAGCCUGAAGGACUUGGAAAUCAGAUCCUGCGGAAAUUUAAAGAUGCUUCCUGAUGGACUCCAGCAUGUUAGGACCCUUCGCGAAUUGAAAUUAACAAAAUUGCCAAUGGUAUCAUCAAGGAUUAAGGAUAAUCUUGGUGCGGAAUGGAAUAAAAUUGCUCAUAUACGCCAUGUGUGGAAGGAAGAUUGAUAAUGCUAGGUCCAACAGAUUCAUG